CGAUGAACCACCUUCGGGUGGGGAUUAGUGGCGAACGGGUGAGUAACACGUGGGCAAUCUGCCCUGCACUCUGGGACAAGCCCUGGAAACGGGGUCUAAUACCGGAUACUGACCUGCCAAGGCAUCUUGGCGGGUCGAAAGCUCCGGCGGUGCAGGAUGAGCCCGCGGCCUAUCAGCUUGUUGGUGAGGUAAUGGCUCACCAAGGCGACGACGGGUAGCCGGCCUGAGAGGGCGACCGGCCACACUGGGACUGAGACACGGCCCAGACUCCUACGGGAGGCAGCAGUGGGGAAUAUUGCACAAUGGGCGAAAGCCUGAUGCAGCGACGCCGCGUGAGGGAUGACGGCCUUCGGGUUGUAAACCUCUUUCAGCAGGGAAGAAGCGAAAGUGACGGUACCUGCAGAAGAAGCGCCGGCUAACUACGUGCCAGCAGCCGCGGUAAUACGUAGGGCGCAAGCGUUGUCCGGAAUUAUUGGGCGUAAAGAGCUCGUAGGCGGCUUGUCGCGUCGGUUGUGAAAGCCCGGGGCUUAACCCCGGGUCUGCAGUCGAUACGGGCAGGCUAGAGUUCGGUAGGGGAGAUCGGAAUUCCUGGUGUAGCGGUGAAAUGCGCAGAUAUCAGGAGGAACACCGGUGGCGAAGGCGGAUCUCUGGGCCGAUACUGACGCUGAGGAGCGAAAGCGUGGGGAGCGAACAGGAUUAGAUACCCUGGUAGUCCACGCCGUAAACGGUGGGCACUAGGUGUGGGCAACAUUCCACGUUGUCCGU
rnacentral:rRNA from 1 species